GUGCACACUUUGGCAACACGUGUGCUAAAAUUGGAAUGAUAAAGAGAAUUUUAGCAUGCCCUGCAUGAGGAUGACAUGCACAUUUGUGAAGAUAUGUUUUAU
rfam:Mustela putorius furo unplaced genomic scaffold scaffold00127, whole genome shotgun sequence.